UACAGAGGGUGCGAGCGUUGUUCGGAUUUACUGGGCGUAAAGGGCGCGCAGGCGGCUCAUUUUGUCAGGCGUGAAAGCCCCGGGCUUAACCUGGGAACUGCGUUUGAUACGGAUGGGCUAGAGUUCGGGAGAGGAGAGUGGAAUUCCCAGUGUAGAGGUGAAAUUCGUAGAUAUUGGGAAGAACACCGGUGGCGAAGGCGGCUCUCUGGACCGAUACUGACGCUGAGGCGCGAAAGCGUGGGGAGCAAACAGG
rnacentral:rRNA from 1 species